GACGAACGCUGGCGGCGCGCUUAACACAUGCAAGUCGAACGGAAAGGCCUGCUAUCCCUUGUGGAUUGCGGGUACUCGAGUGGCGAACGGGUGAGUAACACGUGAGUGAUCUGCCCCCAACUUGGGUAUAAGCCUGGGAAACUGGGUCUAAUUCCCGAUAGGACUGCAGGGUGGUGCCUGUGGUGGAAAACGAUUUUCUAGUGGUUGGGGAUGAGCUCGCGGCCUAUCAGCUUGUUGGUGGGGUAAUGGCCUACCAAGGCGGCGACGGGUAGCCGGCCUGAGAGGGUGGACGGCCACAUUGGGACUGAGAUACGGCCCAGACUCCUACGGGAGGCAGCAGUGGGGAAUAUUGCACAAUGGGCGGAAGCCUGAUGCAGCGACGCCGCGUGGGGGAUGACGGCCUUCGGGUUGUAAACUCCUUUCGACCGCGAGGAAGCCACCUGGUUGGAAGGGUGGUGACGGUAGUGGUAGAAGAAGCACCGGCUAACUACGUG
rnacentral:rRNA from 1 species